AUGCACAGAAGUGAGCUCGUGAAAGGGAAGAAUAUUGUAGACGUGAAGAAGAAGACAGAGCACAUUGCAAAGCUCGCAUGGAGCAGUUGGAUGCUUGAAACUGAGAGCAAGAAGUGGCUUGCACACAAGGAAAGACAAAGGUUUAAGCAGCAGAGAAGUGCAUUGGAUAGUUUGCUCCAGUCAUCACUAUUCACGUGGCACUGGUCAUUGCUAUGAAUUGAUGUUCAUGCAUGUUGGUGUGGUUUGCAUGCAACAUGCUGCAAAGUAAGUUAAAUGUAUUGCCAAUGUAUUAUGGGAGACAUCAAGUGUCAGUUCUCAAAUGAAUGUAAGGUAGAUGAGUCUGUCUUAAAUACAAAGCAAGUGAAGAUGAUGAGAGAGGACACGAGCAGUAGGUUGUGAGUCUAGUCCAUCAUGGAGUCGUGCAGUGGAUCAAGAGAAGCAAGCAGUCAGCAGCCCAGCCGUCAGUUUGAAUAGUGGCAGAGUUUGCAAACGAGCAGACAGACUAGAUGUGUAAGUUAGAGGAGAGAUGGAGUGAUAGUGAGGCAUCUAGAUGAGGUGAGAGUAUGAGAGUGUCCAGUUGUAGGAGGUACACUGUAGUGUUGAAUUGAGUUUUGUUGAAUACAUUACUGU